GACGAACGCUGGCGGCGUGCUUAACACAUGCGAGUCGAACGGAAAGGCCCUGCUUUUGUGGGGUGCUCGAGUGGCGAACGGGUGAGUAACACGUGAGUAACCUGCCCUUGACUUUGGGAUAACUUCAGGAAACUGGGGCUAAUACCGGAUAGGAGCUCCUGCUGCAUAGUGGGGGUUGGAAAGUUUCGGCGGUUGGGGAUGGACUCGCGGCUUAUCAGCUUGUUGGUGGGGUAGUGGCUUACCAAGGCUUUGACGGGUAGCCGGCCUGAGAGGGUGACCGGCCACAUUGGGACUGAGAUACGGCCCAGACUCCUACGGGAGGCAGCAGUGGGGAAUAUUGCACAAUGGGCGGAAGCCUGAUGCAGCAACGCCGCGUGCGGGAUGACGGCCUUCGGGUUGUAAACCGCUUUCGCCUGUGACGAAGCGUGAGUGACGGUAAUGGGUAAAGAAGCACCGGCUAACUACGUG
rnacentral:rRNA from 1 species